rnacentral:rRNA from 1 species
UACGAAGGGGGCUAGCGUUGCUCGGAAUCACUGGGCGUAAAGCGCACGUAGGCGGAUCUUUAAGUCAGGGGUGAAAUCCCGGAGCUCAACUCCGGAACUGCCUUUGAUACUGAAGAUCUUGAGUUCGGGAGAGGUGAGUGGAACUGCGAGUGUAGAGGUGAAAUUCGUAGAUAUUCGCAAGAACACCAGUGGCGAAGGCGGCUCACUGGCCCGAUACUGACGCUGAGGCACGAAAGCGUGGGGAGCAAACAGG